UUACGGGGCGGGGUGAGAUUCCCCACCGGCGGUAUGGGUCUGGCCGACCCGAGCCCGCGAGCCAGCAAUAGCUGGCCGACCUGGUGAGAUUCCAGGGCCGACGGUAUAGUCCGGAUGAUAGU
rnacentral:ncRNA from 1 species